rnacentral:rRNA from 1 species
AGUGAACGCUGGCGGUAGGCCUAACACAUGCAAGUCGAACGGCAGCACAGUAAGAGCUUGCUCUUACGGGUGGCGAGUGGCGGACGGGUGAGGAAUACAUCGGAAUCUACUUUUUCGUGGGGGAUAACGUAGGGAAACUUACGCUAAUACCGCAUACGACCUACGGGUGAAAGCAGGGGAUCUUCGGACCUUGCGCGAUUGAAUGAGCCGAUGUCGGAUUAGCUAGUUGGCGGGGUAAAGGCCCACCAAGGCGACGAUCCGUAGCUGGUCUGAGAGGAUGAUCAGCCACACUGGAACUGAGACACGGCCCAGACUCCUACGGGAGGCAGCAGUGGGGAAUAUUGGACGAUGGGCGCAAGCCUGAUCCAGCCAUACCGCGUGGGUGAAGAAGGCCUUCGGGUUGUAAAGCCCUUUUGUUGGGAAAGAAAAGCAGCAGGUUAAUACCCUGCUGUUCUGACGGUACCCAAAGAAUAAGCACCGGCUAACUUCGUG